GUUAUAGUCUUGAGGACCAAAACAGAAAACACCCUGGGAGAAGUAGCACUGUGAGAGGUAGAAGUUCAAGGUGCUAUUUUACUUUUUCUCACUGUGAAGAGACAAGCUAUUCUCACUGGAGCUCAGACCCCAAUUACACUGCAACAGAUGUAUAACAGGGGCAAGCUGGAAAGCAUGACAGAAGAAUAGCAAGUCAAGUGCAGGUGUUCCUCACAGUAAAUGCUAUUAAAAGCAGCCUUAAACUUUUGGGUUUUGCUGAUUUCCUUCUCUUCAGAAGAUGUACCCAGAAAAGUAGUUCCAGGAAAGCAAGAGGAGGGUGCUUUUCUGUGAAUACAGCAAGUCUGGUGCAGUUAAUGCAGCAUCAAGAAAGUUUCAAAGCAUCUUGUAAAUAUGAAGUAGUUCUCCGAUGUCUACACAUUGUAAGGUAGGAAAAAAUUCAGUGUUGGGGACAGAGAGAUGAAAGCAGAAAUAGAAAUAAUUGAGAAGAAAUCCUGCCCCUCAGUGUUAGGAAUAUCUCCACUAUGAAGACCAAAGAACUAUAAGGUAACAAAGAACCAAGUCGUGGGGCCAGCAUGCAAGAUUCUUCCAAGAUGAAAUAACUGCAUGGCUAGAUGGAAGAGUCAUAGAAUCGUAGAAUCACCAAGGUUGGAAAAGACCUCUAAGAUCACCUAGUUCAACCAUCUAUAUACACGUAGCCCUUCCUUCUCCUUUUCAGAGGACACCCAAGAGAACCAAUCACUGCGAACUGUGACAAUGGCAGUUGAGAAUCCCAGUUUGAGAUCUUCUGGAGCAAAAACUACCAAGGACUGGCUGACUACAGCUCACUUAGAUCCACUUUUUACUACAAGCCAGAUGUCAGAGCCAGCAGAAGUGCUGGUAUUUGCCUUCCAAAUGAAUGAGACAGCAGAAAUGUGGAGCACCAUCUUCAUCAAAGUGUGAAUUGAAGAAAUAUCUCAAAGAAAUUUCUCCCAGACUGCAUUCGCUACUCUAUGAAAUCUACAGAUGUGAAGAUGCUUUGAAGAGGUGGUAGCAUAGCUAUAGCUGCAACGAAAGAAUAAGCAAGGAUGUGAUUUUUUCUUCUUAAAAGAUCACAGUCUGUUAUCAUAGCUGAGCUUGUUAUCCACCACAAACGUUUAUCCAUGCAAAAAAAAUGGGUCUCUGAGCAAUGAAACCAGGUCUGUGAAUCUGUGAAUCUGCAAACAAGUUCAAGAAAGAAAUAAAGAUGAGAAUUUUCUGUUGGAAGUAUUGAGCGAUGACUUAUCACCUUCUUCAAAGCGAGAAUUUCUUUCCUUUCUCUCCAUUCAUAAAGUUGCUUUGAGACAAAAUUGUCAGCUGCAGCAUCCUUCUGGGGCAAUUGUUCUUCUUUCCAAGUAGGUGAGGAAUAGUGGUGCUAUAGUGGCAAAGGAGUUGCAGUGGACAUUUUAGUCAGUGUUCCCAUCCACGCCAUUGCCCUCUUCCCUGACAGGCCCCACUAUCAAGAAGAACCAUCACCAAGAAAACCAUGUUGUUAGGUCCCACCCACAUGCAACCUACAGAUACCCUUUAGGCAAAUAAAAACAGACACCAAAGUUUAGAUAUGAAUGCAGGAGAGGGUAAAGCUGAGGAAUGUAGAUCGGGAAAGGUUAAAGGUUUUUUUUUAUCUUGGCUUCAGUAACUUUGUAUGAGACUCAAAGAGACCUAGACUUACAAUAUGCUGAAAUAAAGUGUGAAGAGCAGAGAUUCUGAUAGGGACAUUUAAUAAAGCCUUAAAACAGCAUUCGCUUUUCAAGACUGUGAAGAGACUGUUAGCAUCUACAGUUUAAUAAAAGCAGUCAAAAAUGAUAAGAGGAAUUACAAACCAGUCAACCUCAUCUCAGUACUUUGAAGAAACAGUGAGAGUCUCAUUAAAAGGAUAGCACAGUUUGGCAUGUGGACAAAAAAAAAAAA